rnacentral:lncRNA from 1 species
ACAGAGUCUUGCUCUGUCGCCCAGACUGGAGUGCAGUGGUAUGAUCUCGGCUCACUGCAACCUCCGCCUCUCAGGUUCAAGCGAUUCUCCCACCGUAGCCUCCUGAGUCGAUGGGAUUACAGGUGUGUGCCACCACACCCAGCUAAUUUUUGUAUUUUUUGGUAGAGAUGGAGGUUUCACUAUGUUGGCCAGGCUAGUCUCUAACUCCUGACCUCAAAUGAUCCACCCACCUCAGCCUCCCAAAGUGCUGGGAUUACAGGCAUAAGCCACCGUGCCUGGCCCCCCAUUUUACUUUCUUCUUUAACAUAUAGUUAGAAUGAAAACAUGUUGAAGGGAUGAUGGCAUUAGAAAAUUACCACUGGCCACUAUCACAGUAAUAAUUGCUUUAGGCAAGAAUGAUCGAUAAAAGCUAAAAUUAAUGGGCAAAAGUAUGAUGAGAAACAGGAUAUUUAUACAAUCGCAAAGUGCCUCCCAAUAAGAUACUUAUUAAAAAGGUAAAAAUGGUAAUUUUCAGUGGAGAAAUAUGGCAGACACCAUAGUAACCAACUGAUCAAAGGGAACAUUGGCAUUAAUGGGACAAAUCAGCAUCACGUUUCUCUUGUCAUGAAGCACUGAGAAGGCCACAGCAUUGCUUCUGAAAUAUUGCAACAAAAAUGAAUAACUUGAAUCUAAUGAUGAGGAAACAUUGGAGAAAUCCAAACCUUGGAACACGCUACAAAACAACUAACUCGUACUCUGAGAAACAUAUCAGUGGACUGGAUUCCAAACAGUGGCUCAUGCCUGUAAUUUUAACACUUUGGGAGGCCAAGGUAGGCAAAUCACUUGAGGCCAGCAGUUUGAGGCCAGCCUAGGCAACAUAGGGAGACCCCAUCUAUACAAAAAAUUAAAUAAAAUUUAUCUGAGCUUGGUGGCAUGUGCCUGUAGUCCCAUUUACUUGGGAGGCUGAAGCAGGAGGCUCCCUUGAGCCCAGAAAUUUGAGGCUGCAGUGAUCUAUGAUCACGUCAUUACACUCCACCCUGGGCAGCAGAGCAAGGCCCUGUCUCUAAAAAAGGAAAUUAAAAAAAAAAAAAAAAACAUGUCAAGGUAAUGAAAGACAAAGAAAGAGGAACUGCUUCAAAUUAAAGGGGAUUAAAGAAACGUGACAGCUAAAUGUGACAUAUGAUUCUGAAUUGGAUCCUGAACCACAGAAAGGAUAUUAGUGGGCAACUGGCAAAAUCUGAAUAAAGUUUAUAGUUUAUAAAAAAAAAACAGACAAAAAACAUGUAGUUAGACCAUAUUUUCUUUCUUUUUUUUUUUUUUUUGAGAUGGAGUCUCGCUCUGUCACCCAGGGUGGAGUGCAGUGGCGCCAUCUCGGCUCACUGCAACCUCCGCUUCCCGGGUUCAAGUGAUUCUCCUGCCUCAGCCUCACAAGUAGCUGGGACUACAGGCGAGCACCACCAUGCCCUGUUAAUUUUUGUAUUUUUAAAAAUUUUUAGUAGAGAUGGGGUUUCACCAUAUUGGCCAGGCUGGGGUUAGACCAUAUUUUCUAACCAGCUUUCUUUGCAGUUUGGUGGGGCUUUGUGUCUGAAUUCUGGCCAAUGGAACCACGUGGAGGCCUGGCCCAGAACAUCUCCCUGUGGAUUCUCUCAUCUGGCAACUGGAUGCCUACACGAAGGGUGAUUUUGGAGUCAUGUGUUGGAGAUCACAAAGCUUUUGUCAGCCAGGUUCCUGAAUGACUGCUAGACACCAUGGGCUGAACUUUAUGAGCUCCAGCACCACCUCCAGCCUUCAGUGACUGUCUGGAGCAGGCAUCCGGAUGGAAGAGAAGGGGGACAACCAUGAACUUGGUGACCCACGGUCAGCCUGAUUUCCCUUGUGGACACAUUUAUGCCCAGUGUGCAUUCCUCCUGAGGUCUGUUCCAAGUCUGGAGGCAGCAGAGUAGAGUGGAGAGAACAGUGGACUUGGAAUCUCACCUCCCAGAUUAGAGUCCUGGAUCUGACUUUGAUUGCUGGUGCUGCCUCGGGCAAGUUACUUUAGCUGUGUGCAUCUCCAUUUCCCCAUGGAUAGAACAUGGGUUUUGGGUAGAAGUGUCUGAUAGCUGUACUGUGCUUUACGGUUCAUGAGCACGCACACAUAGGCCCAUAAUAUCAUAUCUCUGGUCACCCUGGCAGGUAGAUAUUAUUGCCCCAGGUUUCAGGUAAGAAGACUAAAGACCAGGGGUCAAUUGCUUGCUCAGAGUCCCACAGCCAGCAGCAGCCAGGCAGGACACCAAGUCAGAGUCUAGAUUCCGGAUCUUGCCCUCUUCCAAGUGUACCACAUUCUUCUCAAAGUGGCCUCUCAGGUCUUUUGUCCAGAAAAUUUUGAGACUUUGAUGAGAAGCCCAUAUCUGCACACUGGGGAUUAGGCCAGAUAACCCUGUGUGUCCUUCCAGGCCUGGUAUUGUGAGGCUGAAGCCUAGUGCCCCACACUCCCUUCCUCACCCCUUAGAGAAAGAUAGAGACUCCAGGGCCAGCCUGGUGGGUGCUGAACCUGCCCUGCUGAGCCAAGCCCAGGAGGCAGCCAAGGUCCUACCAGUGACCUUACCCUGGGGGCCCCUCCAGGUAGGAGCCUGGUUGGAAAAGACAGACCGACUUCUUCUGGGUUGGCUGGAAAAAGAUGACAUACUCAAAGCCUUGUCCUUCCACUUGGAUGCACCUGGUGAAGAUGCGACAGUCACCUUUGUCUGGGGAGAGAUAGGCAGUGUUGCAGCCGGAGAAGGGAGGGUAUGGUCAGGAUGCAGCACCAUUUGGUUGAGUCUUGCCUCUGGUACAAGAUUAAGGAGAGAAAACCAGAGGACACCAGGUCCACCCCCAGGGAGCCUUCCCUCUGGGAGCAGAGGCACAGUUGCUGUCCUCACAGAGCCUUUCUGUCUAGGGCAGAAACAUGCAGGAAGUGCCCUGGCUGAGAAUGGAGAUAGGAUCAGGGCCAGGGCAAGACUUUAAGAGACCAUAAGCAUUGAAAAUUGAAAAUGUAAUUACUCAUGUAACUCACAUAUAAUUCAAAAGAAUAAUAGUAAACAGUAAAAUAAGAGCAGAAAAGUCCAUCAAAGUUCUGAUUUUUUUUUUCCAAGACAGCUACCACUACUACAUCCUUUUUUGGAAGUAUCAAAUUCUUUGAAAAAAAAUUAUGUUGGUAUUCCUGCUUUGUUUGUGCCAUAAACCCAAGGGUAGUCUGUCCCCUGUACCACUCCUUCAUCACUAGGCAGGAAGACAACAUAUAUGAGUGAGAGAGACAGGGAGAUACACAUGCGUGCACACACGAGUGCACACACACACACAAGAAGGUGGAAGCUCUAUCAUUAGGAUCCAUUAGGAUCAUUAGGUGUUUCAGGAGUGCUGCUCCAGACCCCGCACAGCAGGGAUGAUGUGCAGGGCCUCAGUGGAAGGGGUGUGGGGUCCAAGGGCUUUCAUGGGGUUGGGGCGGAAGGCUUGGGAUGAGGCUUGAUAGUUAGGGAGGGGCAGUCAGUGAGAAGUCGGGGCAGGAGCUGGGCUGGCUGUCCUCCAGUGGGGACAUGCUUGGCUGGGAGCGAAGGUGGGCCCACCAGGGUGUGCUGCUUCAGAUGGGAGGAGGGGAGCUGGAGACCUGAGAGGACACCCGCCGCCUGUUGCCUGGGGCUGCAGCAUCAGGGGUGGAGUUGGACAGCAGGAAGAACUCGCUGAGAACUGGAAGGCGGUCUGUGAAGUUGCUUCUCAGUCUUAGAACACAGGGAAGGGCGGCUGGGGUGUGUGUACUCAUGGUCCUGUCCUUACCUGAGGAAACUGCCAGUCCAGAUGGGAGCUUGAGUCCCCGGAUGUGGUCUCUGUUGGACUUGAAGGAGGGCAGCUUGAUCCAGCCGCUAGACUUAGUCUUCUCCAGAAAUUCUUGGUACAGGCUCAGCAUGUCCGAACACCAGCUGGCAUUGGGAAGAGCAUAAUCCUUCAAGUCUGUCUUCUCUGGCAAGAAUCUUGAGAACUGGGCAGGAAAAAUCAGAAUGACUAGACAGCAUCCUGGAGGGGGGCUGCUGCCUGGGCUCGGGACCUCUAAACAGCUGUUCCUGGGUGCUGGGGCUUCUCAAUCCCUUCUGCCAGAGUAUCGAUCCAAGGGAAAGGGCCCAUAUUCCUUGCAGGGGGGCUGCGGACCCCUAUGGGUGACGGGGCAUAAGGAUGCUAAAGAGCAAGGGAAGGGCGGGCAGGGAGUGGGGCCAGAGAUGAUGGGCAUGCUGCUCGAUGUGGUGCCUUACCCUUGUUCUGCUUAAAACAUGUGAGCAGUUCUUUAAAGUUGACAACUGCUCAUAUUAGCCUCACUGUACAGAUGGGGAAACUGAGGGAAUACGGCCAAGGUUGCCAAGCAUGUGACUGUGAGAGCUGGUGGUCGCACUAGAUGCUGUCUCCUCUGCAGGGCAGGGUCACAGUUGUUGAGGACCAUUCUAGCAACCCCCACCUCAGGGGCUACUCCAGCUCUGCCCACUGCUGUGGGCCUGCCUGGGCAGGGUGGCUCCUUUGAAACACAUUUGGGCCCCCACAGAGGUGUGGUGCCAUGGCUGGGGCACAGACUAUGUGCCCAUCUGUGUGACGUAAGGAAGUCCUCUGUAGCGUCACCUGCUCAUACACCAGUCACAACUGUAGACAGCAUGUGAGCUGCUUGCCAAUGCCACAGAUGGGGUCCUCUGUCUGGGGAUACCCCAGCUUUGCUGCAGUAGUCUGAGUCCCACAGGAGGAAAGUCAUUUGUUGGUGGCCACACAAGACACAGAGCCAGAUGCAGGUCUCCUGGUAGUUUUAGUUUUGAAUGGGGGCAACUUGGUAUCCCAGAGCACUUUCUCUUUGCCAAAUCAAAUAGCUCCUCCGAACACUGCCCACCUGCCCUGGCCAUGGGCUGGGAAGAGGAGAUUUGGGGUGCUCCUUAAGCCCUAGGCUCCUGGGAAAACACUGCCCAUCUGGCUGAGCUGGGAACUCACCAUGGAGUCUGUGGAGGAUCCAAAUGCUGAGGCAGGGUUGAGUCUGGGCAGGAUACGGGGGGCCUCAAGAAGGCCUCUGUGGUGGCCAAGUCUUGCUGCCACCUGGAAGCAUCUCCUUAUCAUGGCCAAGUGCAAGGAUCCAGCCCUGCUUGGAUGGAGGGUCUUGGCUGACUCCCAAGGAGUGCUUUCAGCUGCACUUGGGGCCGCUUCUCUCCCUUCUGUUGCAGGCUUUCUUUCAGAGAGCUAGGCGAGGCUGGGCUGGUGUGCUGCAACACCCACAGAUGCUCGGCGCCUUUAGCUGGUCUAGGAGCCCCACCCAGUGCUUGGGGAGGGACAGAUGCUGCUUGGGCAUGAAAAGGCAGCAGGACUGGCUUGAGUUGCAAAAGGAGUAAACAAGUACAUAAACAAAUAGUAUGGGGUAUAUAGAGCCUUGGAGAGCUGCCUGGGGGUUCUGAGGGAGAAUCCAAGAAUAUUUCCAGAAGGAUAAGGGAAGCCUGUCCCUUGAUUGGAGGGUGCUGGUGGAGUGUUCUUGGUAUGUGCUCUGCAGUGUAUACCGGACUCUGAAAACUCUGGUAUGAUUUUGUGACUCAGAAAACCAACUCACAGGCCGGGUGCGGUGGCUCACGCCUGUAAUCCCAGCACUUUGGGAGGCCGAGGCGGCGGAUUACGAGGUUAGGAGAUCGAGACCAUCCUGGCUAACACGGUGAAACCCCGUCUCUACUAAAAAAAAUACAAAAAAUUAGCCGGGCGUGGUGGCGGGUGCCGGUAGUCCCAGCUACGCAGGGGGCUGAGGCAGGAGAAUGGCGUGAACCUGGGAGGUGGAGCUUGCAGUGAGCUGAGAUCUAGCCACCGCACUCCAGCCUGGGCGACUGAGCGAGACUCCGUCUCAAAAAAAUAAAAAUAAAAAAAUAAAAAAAAAGAAAACCAACUCACAGCCUUAGACACCUCUUUUUUUUUUUUUUUUUUUUUUUUGGUGAGACGGAGUUUCAAUCUUGUCGCCCAGGCUGGUGUGCAAUGGCGUGAUCUCGGCUCACUGCAACCUCCGCCUCCUGGGUUCAAGUGAUUCUCCUGCCUCAGCCUCCUGAGUAGCUGGGAUUACAGACACACACCACCACACCCAGCUAAAUUUUGUAUAUUUUUUUUAGUAGAGAUGGGGUUUUGCCAUGUUAGCCAGGCUGGUCUUGAACUCCUGACCUCAGGUGACCUCCCAAAGUGCUGGGAUUACAGGCGUGAGCCACCGCACCCGGCCAACACCUCUUCUUAUAUCCCGGACAAGGGUUAGCACAGGAGAGUUUCACCUGCUGGUCUCUGGCUGGGGAUAGGAGUUGGAGGUGGGGGAGGGCUUGACAGGGAGGGCAGAAAAUAAUUUGGGAGGAAACAGCUUGGCAGGGAUACUCUCAUGUUUUGGGAACCCCGUGCCCAGGGAGUGGCUCAUGUCAGCAGGCAGUGCUGGGAGUGAGGUGGGCGCGGCAGUGAGGCUUUGUUGAGUGGGAAGGGACACUCAGCCAACAUCUGCAAGGCAGUGGGAUUUGGUGGUGGUGUGUCUUCUAUUGAAUUUAAACUGCCAAUUUUCAAUUAAAAGUCUCAGUUUUAAAUUGACUAAAAUAAAAGCAUGUUCUAAAGAUCAGUCCUCGCGCAGUGGCUCAAGGCUGUAAUCUCAGCAUUUUGGGAGGCCGAGUGAGACCUUGUCUUAAAAAAAAAAAAAUCAGAACUGUGCAAAGGUGGAAUCAUAACAGUGAUGAUGACGAUAAUAAUAGUUGUGAUGAUUAUGACAUUUUGGCAGGUUCCAAAAGAUGAAACUGAUUUAAUGCGGAAAUUUAAAAGAUUUGGUUCACCCUCUGUAUUUGGUUGCCCUAGAAGAAGACUAGAAUAUAAAUAUUUCCCCUCACCUCCUGCAAAGGUUUGAAUUAAACUUCCUCAAGGACUGGGGGAACCAUUUUUUUUUGUUGUUGUUAUUUUGUCAGAGUCUCACUCUUAUUGCCCAGGAGUGCAGUGGCACCAUCUCGGCUCACUGCAACCUCUGCCUCCCAGGCUCAAGCAAUUCUCCUGCCUCAGCCUCCCAAGUAGCUGGGAUUACAGGCGCUUGCUACUACGCCCGGCUAGUUUUUAUAUUUUUAGUAGAGACGGGGUUUCAUCAUGUUGGCCAGGCUGGUCUCAAACUCCUGGCCUUGGCUGAUCUGCCUGCCUCAGCGUCCCAAAGUGCUGGGAUUACAGGCAUGAGGCACCACGCCCAGCUGGAAGUUUUUUUGGUUGAUUCAGCCUCUGGGUCUAAGCAAAGAUAUUUGAGUUGGUUGCCAUCCCCAGAUAAGUGAGAAUAUCUGGCAGCACUCAUUUUCAGCCCUGGGCCGCAGCCGUUGCUGUGAGGCAGAAAUUAAAAAAAGAUAGUAAGUACUACAUUCAUUCACUCCAAGAAAAGUAACAGACAAGGCUAUAAGAAGGUCAUAGUGACCUAGUCUGAGAAGUAAAAGCCAAGGCCCAGAAUGUGGCAAGGCAAAGGUUAAAAAGAAAGGAAGAGCAAGUUUUUCUCUGCCUAGCAAGCUCACUUCAAAGACAAUUAUAAGAUAAUGCUCUUCGAGAAGUCGAAACCAAAGGAAUAGGCUCCAGACAUCCCCCGUCUGGAGCAAGGGUGAAGGAAAAAAAAAAAAGGACAAAUGUCUGUCUGUAUUUAGCCAGUUCUUGUUUUUUCUUUCCACGCAGCUACAAGGCCACCAGCUAUGCAAAGCCACAAGUUAUGCCAAGUCAUCAGUUAUGCUAUAGAUUAUGUGACCUGUCAUUAUAUGAUUAACUGCCUGUUUUGCUUCUGUAAGCCUGCUUAUAAAAAUCCUGCUCAGUCUUUGUUCAAUGCUCAGCUUUUUGGAUGUGAAUCCACUGAGCCAAUGCCUACCUUAAAAUAAACAUCGUCCUGUUUUUCCA